rnacentral:rRNA from 1 species
AGAGUUUGAUCAUGGCUCAGAACGAACGCUGGCGGCAGGCCUAACACAUGCAAGUCGAACGCUCGUAGCAAUACGAGAGUGGCAGACGGGUGCGGAACACGUGGGAACAUACCCUUUGGUUUGGAAUAACUCAGGGAAACUUGAGCUAAUACCGGAUAAGCCCGUAAGGGGAAAGAUUUAUCGCCGAAGGAUUGGCCCGCGUCCGAUUAGCUAGUUGGUGAGGUAAUGGCUCACCAAGGCGACGAUCGGUAGCUGGUCUGAGAGGAUGAUCAGCCACAUUGGGACUGAGACACGGCCCAAACUCCUACGGGAGGCAGCAGUGGGGAAUAUUGGACAAUGGGCGCAAGCCUGAUCCAGCCAUGCCGCGUGAGUGAUGACGGCCCUAGGGUUGUAAAGCUCUUUCACCCACGACGAUAAUGACGGUAGUGGGAGAAGAAGCCCCGGCUAACUUCGUGCCAGCAGCCGCGGUAAUACGAAGGGGGCUAGCGUUGUUCGGAUUUACUGGGCGUAAAGCGCGCGUAGGCGGAUCUUUAAGUCAGGGGUGAAAUGCCGGAGCUCAACUUCGGAACUGCCUUUGAUACUGGAGAUCUUGAGUUCGGGAGAGGUGAGUGGAACUGCGAGUGUAGAGGUG